rnacentral:misc_RNA from 1 species
GCUCAACCGCGGCCUCGAAAUGAGCAUCAAGCGGCUGGUCGAUGACGUGCAGGUCGCGACGGACGCCGCUGCCGCCAAGGCAAACAACACGAUCACGCUGGGAACGGCGACCAUGCUCGCGCUCGGCGNCGUGCUCACGCUGGUCGGAUCGGCGCUGUUCGUCUGGCUCUAUGUCGGCCGCAACAUCCUUGGCCGCAUCGGCAACCUGCAGGACGUGAUGCGCCGCCUGUCCGAGGGCGAUCUCAAUGCCGAGGUCAAGCGCGGCCGCCAG